rnacentral:rRNA from 1 species
GGCGGCGUGCCUAAUACAUGCAAGUAGGACGCACAGUUUAUACCGUAGCUUGCUACACCAUAGACUGUGAGUUGCGAACGGGUGAGUAACGCGUAGGUAACCUGCCUAUUAGAGGGGGAUAACUAUUGGAAACGAUAGCUAAUACCGCAUAACAGUAUGUAACACAUGUUAGAUGCUUGAAAGAUGCAAUUGCAUCGCUAGUAGAUGGACCUGCGUUGUAUUAGCUAGUAGGUAGGGUAAUGGCCUACCUAGGCGACGAUACAUAGCCGACCUGAGAGGGUGAUCGGCCACACUGGGACUGAGACACGGCCCAGACUCCUACGGGAGGCAGCAGUAGGGAAUCUUCGGCAAUGGGGGGAACCCUGACCGAGCAACGCCGCGUGAGUGAAGAAGGUUUUCGGAUCGUAAAGCUCUGUUGUUAAGGAAGAACGAGUGUGAAAAUGGAAAGUUCAUACUGUGACG